CGCUGAGUUUGAUCCUGGCUCAGGAUGAACGCUAGCGGCAGGCUUAACACAUGCAAGUCGAGGGGUAUAGUUCUUCGGAACUAGAGACCGGCGCACGGGUGCGUAACGCGUAUGCAAUCUACCUUUUACAGAGGGAUAGCCCAGAGAAAUUUGGAUUAAUACCUCAUAGUAUGUGAGAAUCGCAUGGUUUAAUAACUAAAGUUCCAACGGUAUAAGAUGAGCAUGCGUCCCAUUAGUUAGUUGGUAA
rnacentral:rRNA from 1 species